AUUGAACGCUGGCGGCAUGCUUUACACAUGCAAGUCGAACGGCAGCGCGGGCUUCGGCCUGGCGGCGAGUGGCGAACGGGUGAGUAAUGCAUCGGAACGUGCCCAGUAGUGGGGGAUAGCCCGGCGAAAGCCGGAUUAAUACCGCAUACGACCUGAGGGUGAAAGCGGGGGACCGAUAGGCCUCGCGCUAUUGGAGCGGCCGAUGUCGGAUUAGCUAGUUGGUGGGGUAAAGGCUUACCAAGGCGACGAUCCGUAGCUGGUCUGAGAGGACGACCAGCCACACUGGGACUGAGACACGGCCCAGACUCCUACGGGAGGCAGCAGUGGGGAAUUUUGGACAAUGGGGGCAACCCUGAUCCAGCCAUGCCGCGUGCGGGAAGAAGGCCUUCGGGUUGUAAACCGCUUUUGUUCGGGAAGAAAUCCUCUGGGCUAAUACCCCGGGGGGAUGACGGUACCGGAAGAAUAAGCACCGGCUAACUACGUG
rnacentral:rRNA from 1 species